UGUUGUGCUGAAACCCCCUGUCAGUGCUGAAGAAACAGCAGGAAUUCUGUGGGAUUUGAUCCUCUUAAAGGCUUCAAAGUUAUGUAUUUAGGAGUGCCCUGAGAUGAAAAACAUAUCUUUGGGAUGUGUCCCACAAAUUCAACAUCCACUGGGAAUUAGAACAGACAUAGACAGAGAUUUCCUGGCCCAUCCCUCUGCUGGAUGUAAAAUAUAAAAAAUCCUAUUCCCUGACUGCAGGAGGCACAACCAGGAAGGAAUAUGAGAAACAAAGUGAUGGAAGAAGAUGCCUGCAACACGAGUUUCCUUACUCAAUAAUCUAAAAUACCAUCCUGCAAUCAGAGCUGCUCUGCUGCAGUGAUGCAACAAUUAAAGUUUAUUGCCUCUUUCACACUUUUUCUCCAGCAAAAUGCCAUAGCUGGGGCUCUGUUUGAUCUUUGGAGAAGCACACAACAAAAUCACUGCUCGUCCAAAAACCACCAGGAGUUUGGACAGGGAUGGCCAAACCUGCCAUUUCUCUAUGGCUGCAGUUGUAGGAGCUCUCCAGAUUUCUGCUGUGGUUCAAGGGCUGAAGACAAAGCAAAUGCUGCUGGACAAACAGGGAAGAGCUGAGGCAAAAGUAUCAGGAUUUCCUGGGGCAGAACUGGAUGGGGGUGGAGAUGUUACCAAUAAAGUUUAAAUUUGAAAUGCUU